UUUCGUCACUUUCCAUCCCAAGGCCCCGAAUUCGUCCUCCGCACGCCGAUCUAUUCCUCUCCCGAUGCCUCUGCUCCCCACCUCCAUCGUCAUCGCGACCACUAAGGCCAUCGCUAUCUGUCCCCUCUCGCAUUUGUUCUUCCUCCGAUCGAUGCAUCCGCUCGUGGGGGCGCUGCUGGUGGGGGCCAGGGAGCGUUGGUGGUGGCCGUGCUAGGGCCCGACGGCGCGUCAUGCGGCGGCGUGGGAGGGCGCGCUAGAACUGGCCGUGUCGGUAGCGUCGUUCGCGCCGGAGACCAUGUUCGUGUGGGUGCUGGGCAGCGGCGGGUGCGCGGCCGGGUCGGUGCGCGUGCCGCUCGACGGCGGCGGGGACGAUACGAAUCUACUCCGCCUCCAGACAUCACUCCCUCCGCUCCUGCGGUCAUAUCUGAAGAUUUACCUACUAUUAUUUCUGAUGUUUCAUUCCCCAAGUCUAUGAUGCCUGAAACUUUAAAUGUUCUGUUUAGUCAUACUGUGGAUCAUGGCGAUUCAUGGAGAUCUUGUUGUGCCAUUUUCUUUUGCUGGCAUCUCAAGGUGAUAUUUUAGUGGCCACUUAAUUUAUAUAUUUUUCCAGUAUUGAUAUGCCAAAAAAAGCCUCAAUGGAAUGAAAGCUCUACGUCUUUUGUUGUAUUUUUGUAACAUAAGUUUAACAAUUAUAAUUUGCUAUGGGGCAGUAGGAGCCACUCAUUCUCCUCUUUUGUGAAUUUUAAGGUACACAUUGGACUAUCAUGUGUAUUUUGUUUGUUUUGGUUUCUUCUUAUGAUUUCUAUUUUGAUAUUCAUUCUCCUCUUUUGUGAAUUUUAAGGUACACAUUGGACUAUCAUGUGUAUUUCGUUUGUUUUGGUUUCUUCUUAUGAUUUCUAUUUUGAUAUGAAUAUUGAUGUUUAAACUCACAAGUAUCAUAUCCAAUUAUCCACUAUGUAUUGCAGAUAGCAAUAUUGAAUGGCUUUAGUAACAUUUCCCUUUUCAAGGCAUAAUGUCCGUCCUGGUACUUGCACCGGACAUAAACUAUUGUAAAUAUAGUAAAAUCUUAUAUUUCUAUUGUGGGAUUUCACUCUUUGGUGUGUGACAGGCUGGCGGUUGUGUUUGCUGUCUCCAGUGUUUAGGUGGAAACUACAUAAUCAUAUUUGGUAACUUUGGGGAGAAGUUGGGAUUUUUGUUGGUAUGCAGGUCAGAUACAACACUAACCAAUGUGCAUGUAUUGCUCAAAUAUUUCACUGGGCCUAUUACAUUACUGUACUUAGUAUAACACAUGCUCUGGCACUGAUCGUACAACUUUGCAUGAAUACUCCAGUAGGUCGACCCCUCUAAUUUAUGCCAUGAAUGUAAAUAAGUUAUACUAUUAAACUGUCUGGCCUUAGUCUUUUAUGCAUUAAUAUUAAUUAUUAACUAGGAAUGAGAUGUUAUGAGGUACCGGACAUAAACAAUUGUAAAUAUAGUAAAAUCUUUUUUUCUCUAUUGAGGGAUUUCACUCAUUGUUGUGUGACAGACUGAGAAUUGUGCUUGCUAUCUCCAAUGUUCAGGUGGAGACUACAGAAUCAUAUUUGCUAACUGUGUGGGAAAGCUGGGAUUUUUGUUGGUAUGCAUGUCAGAUACAAGACUAACCAAUGUGCAUGUAUUGCUCAAAUAUUUCAGUGGUCCUAUUACAUUACUGUAUUUACUAAAAACAUGCUCGGGCUCUGAUCGUACAACUUUGCACUAAUACUCCGGUAGGUCGGCCCUUCUAAUUUAUUCCUGAAUGUAAAUAAAUUCUAUUAAAUUGUCGGGCCUUAUUUUUUGUGCAUUAAUUAUUGACUUUUUAUUUUUCCAGACAAAUGUGGCCCUGCUUGAUCUUAGGUUAAUAAUUUUAUAUUGCUGACGGAUUAAUUCAUAUAGCUCUUUAACUUUUGGAAGAGAUAACUCAGAUGACUUAUGAGAAGAUGCUCUGAUAGAUGUGCAAUGUACCAAAAAAGAGUUCUUUUGGCAACAUAAUUUCAUGUAAUUUGUGCGGAGCUACCUUGAAAGAGCAAUAAAACUCUAGAAGGAGCAAGGACCACCACAUGGUGAACACUUGCACCUGUGCAUGAAGUGUGCCAGCCGUUGAAUGGCGUGGCACAUCAAGUCAGGGAAACAUUACUUUCUUCACUGGUCUCCAAUAUGUGCUUUUGCUUUCUCCCUCUUCCUUAUUUAUUAGAGCUUUUAUCAAUAUAUUUAAGAAAAGGCUCUACGCCUUUUCAAUCAGCUAUUUGUCAAAGUGGAAUUUUGUGAGUUUAUGGAUGAGAAUUAACAAAAUAGUUCUUCCAUAUUUGUUACGUAUACAUGCAUAUAACAUGUAUCAUAUUUGUCGAAGGUGCCAUGGGAGCUAGCUUAUAUUUCAAAAAUACCAGUACAUCGUGUUCGUCCCUGAAUAUAUUGUUCGGUUUCCUUACUGUUCUCCUAUAAAUGGUUCAGUUUCCUUGCUGCAUUUUUUCCAGAUCUGGCCUAUUUUUUCAGAUGGCUUACCAUCUUUAUACGGCUUCAAUGCUGUGAAAAAACUCGCAUGAGAUUACAGUUGCAAUCUAUUAUUUGUCUAAUGUUUACACACAGGCGAAGUCACACGAGGCCAUCGCGGAUGUGUCCCAUGUUAUGUAUAUUACCACCGUUCCUAAGCCGCAGAUACUUCUCCCAGGUUAUCGUUGAAACAACGAUAAUGCUAGAGCCUUGAGAAUUGUGAUGGAGGGGGUGGAGGAGCAGGGAGAAUGAUGACGUGUUGUCUUUUGUGCAAGAGGAGAGGGUGAUUAAGGAGAGGCACACACUAUCUUUCUUGCAAGAGGAGAAGGUGAAUAAUGAGAGACACGAGGAAUGAAGCGGUAGAGGGAAUCAGUAUUUGUCGCUAUGAAUGGAAACCAUGUGCAUCCCUGCUGGACACAUAAUUUUUCUUGCUACUAUACUAAUCAAGUCACAUUUUGUUCAAUUUGCUACCAUGUAGUUGUGUACAAGGAUGUACCUGGCUGGGCAAA